rnacentral:rRNA from 1 species
UUCCGUAGGGGUGAAC